UACGGAGGGGGCUAGCGUUGUUCGGAAUUACUGGGCGUAAAGCGCGCGUAGGCGGCUUUGUAAGUUAGAGGUGAAAGCCCGGAGCUCAACUCCGGAAUAGCCUUUAAGACUGCAUCGCUAGAACGUUGGAGAGGUAAGUGGAAUUCCGAGUGUAGAGGUGAAAUUCGUAGAUAUUCGGAGGAACACCAGUGGCGAAGGCGACUUACUGGACAACUGUUGACGCUGAGGUGCGAAAGCGUGGGGAGCAAACAGG
rnacentral:rRNA from 1 species